UUAAAGGAUAUGAGUAAUCCACUGGUCU
rnacentral:tRNA from 1 species